UAUUUUAGAAUGCAUUGACCUACAAUGAUGUGCAUGUGAACUUCACUCGAGAAGAGUGGGCUUUGCUGGAUCCUUCCCAGAGGAAUCUUUACCAAGAUGUGAUGCUGGAGACCUACAGGAAUCUCACUGCUAUAGGCUACAGUUGGGAAGAUCAUAAUAUUGAAAAGCAUUGUCAGAGUUCUAGAAGACAUAUAAGGUAUGAAAAUACUCAUAGUGGAGACAAACCCCCUGAAGAUACUCAAUAUGGUGAAGUCUUUACACAUCACAGGAGUCCCCACACAUAUGAAACAGGGAUACAUUUCAUAAACAUUCCCAAAUGAUACCACCAACUGAGAAGGAUUCAUUUCUCUGACUUCAAAUGUACGUGUUUGAUUUCUGUUACAUGAAAGAAUUCAUGAUGAAGAAAACAUUUAUAGAUAAGCCUGUAGUUGCCUCAACACCUGAGUUCAGUAAUGAAUGCUUAUAUAAGUAAAACAUUCAUGAGUAAACA